rnacentral:rRNA from 1 species
CUAGCUGUAAACGAUGGAUACUAGGCGUUGAGAGUAUCGACCCUCUCAGUGUCGUAGCUAACGCGUUAAGUAUCCCGCCUGGGGAGUACGCGCGCAAGCGUGAAACUCAAAGGAAUUGACGGGGGCCCACACAAGCGGUGGAGUAUGUGGUUUAAUUCGAUGCAACGCGAAGAACCUUACCAGGGCUUGACAUGUCCGGAACCCUGCCCAAAGGCGGGGGUGCCUACGGGAACCGGAACACAGGUGGUGC